rnacentral:misc_RNA from 1 species
CCAAUAGCGUAUAUUAAAGUUGCUGCGGUUAAAAAGCUCGUAGUUGAAUUUCGGAAUUGAUGCAUCGGUCGUGCCUUAAGGGGCAUGAACUGGUGUAGCCAAUUUCUCACCUUCUGGUGAAUUGUUGAUGUUCUUAAUGGGUGUCUCAAUGAACUAGAAUUUUUUACUUUGAAAAAAUUAGAGUGUUUAAAGCAGGCAUUAAUUUGCUUGAAUACAUUAGCAUGGAAUAAUGAAAUAGGACAGUGGUUCCGUUUUGUUGGUUUCUAGGAUCACGUAAUGAUUAAUAGGGACAGUUGGGGGCAUUAGUAUUCAAUUGUCAGAGGUGAAAUUCUUGGAUUUAUUGAAGACUAACUAUUGCGAAAGCAUUUGCCAAGGAUGUUUUCAUUAAUCAAGAACGAAAGUUAGGGGAUCAAAGACGAUUAAGUACGUCGUAGUCCUAACCAUAAACUAUACCGACUAGGAAUCAGACGAUGUUAAUUUUUUAAUGACUCGUUUGGUACCUUACGGGAAACCAAAGUUUUGGGUC